rnacentral:rRNA from 1 species
AACGAACGCUGGCGGCAGGCUUAACACAUGCAAGUCGAACGCCCCGCAAGGGGAGUGGCAGACGGGUGAGUAACGCGUAGGAAUCUACCCAGUUCUGCGGAACAACAGUUGGGAACGACUGCUAAUACCGCAUACGCCCUACGGGGGAAAGAUUUAUCGGAAUUGGAUGAGCCCGCGUUGGAUUAGCUAGUUGGUGGGGUAAUGGCCUACCAAGGCGACGAUCCAUAGCUGGUCUGAGAGGAUGAUCAGCCACACUGGGACUGAGACACGGCCCAGACUCCUACGGGAGGCAGCAGUGGGGAAUAUUGGACAAUGGGCGCAAGCCUGAUCCAGCCAUGCCGCGUGAGUGAUGAAGGCCUUAGGGUUGUAAAGCUCUUUCAGUAGGGAAGAUAAUGACGGUACCUACAGAAGAAGCCCCGGCUAACUUCGUGCCAGCCGCCGCGGUAAUAC